AACGCACAUUGCGCCCUUUGGUAUUCCUUAGGGCAUGCCUGUUCGAGCGUCAUUUAGUACCUUCAAGCUUAGCUUGGUGAUGGGCGACUGGCUGCACCUUUGGUGCAGACUCGCCUCAAAUCUAGUUGGCAGCUUCUUCACCGGCUCAAAACGCAGCAGAUUUUUGUGUUGACACGGCCCCGAAGAAUCUUUCCAGUAAGCAAAUAUUUUCAGCUUGACCUCGGAUCAGGUAGGGAUACCCGCUGAACUUAA
rnacentral:misc_RNA from 1 species